GAAGUAACAAUAUAACUUAUACUAAUCUAGAGACACCUUGUGUGUUGUACGAUGAUACAAACAAGUUUCUGCCCUAUCAACUUGACGUUUGUGUAUGGGACAAACGUAGUGAUAACGGGUACGGGGAAUCAGGGUUCGAUUCCGGAGAGGGAGCCUGAGAAAUGGCUACCACUUCCAAGGAAGGCAGCAGGCGCGCAAAUUACCCAAUCUCAAUUCGAGGAGGUAGUGACAAGAAAUAGCAAUAUGGAACUCCAAAUGGGUUCUGUGUUUGAAAUGAGUACAAUUUAAAAUCCUUAACGAGGAACCAUUGGAGGACAAGUCUGGUGCCAGCACCCGCGGUAAUUCCAGCUCCAAUAGUGUAUAUGAAAGUUGCUGCAGUUAAAAAGCUCGUAGUUGGAAUUUGGAUAAUGAUUGAAUCCACAUUACUUAUUUUAAU
rnacentral:rRNA from 1 species